rnacentral:pre_miRNA from 13 species
AUAAGUGAUUGAAGAAAGAUGCUAAACUGUUUUUGCGAUGUGUUCCUAAUAUGUACUAUAAAUAUAUUGGGAGCAUUUUGCAUGCAUAGUUUUGCAUCAAUAUACAGACAAAAAGAU